UGACUCAACGCGGGAAAUCUUACCGGGUCCGGACACACUGAGGAUUGACAGGCAAAAGAUACAAGUUUUGAACUUGCAUUGUAAAAUAUGCGAGUCCUUUCAUGAUUAUGUGAUAGGUGGUGCAUGGCCGUUCUUAGUUCGUGGAGUGAUCUGUCUGCUUAAUUGCGUUUCAUAACGAUUUAAAACACUGUGUUUUAACGUUUGCUGUUCACCUGACUACGGUCAUGGUUUGAACGCACGUAGCAUGGUUAAAAACAAUCGGAAAGCAACGAACGUGACCGCAACCUCUUGUUGCCUUUAUUUUUAAAGCAUAUUC
rnacentral:rRNA from 1 species